UUCAAAAGUAGUUCUAAACUUUCCUUGGAAUCUGCAAUACCAAAGUCACACAUGCAUAGUUAUUUUUUUCCUUUACCCAUCUACAUUUUACUUGGGGAUUGGGGUGGAACGUGGGGUAGGAGUGGGGCACAAUUGGAGGAUUCAUGAAAAUAAAUGAUCAGUUUCAUGCUCCUUUUUUUGAUUAUGUAUUAAUUAUGCCUCAUUUUCUUUGUGAUAGUAGGUACUUAUAUCAUUGCAUAGUUUGGUAAAUAUUAAUUUAUAAUGCUCAAAAUCCCCAGGAGAUUAAUUUCAAGUGAGCAUAAAAAUGAUGAAAGGUGAAUUUGAGAAAUCUAGGGAAAGAGUAGUGGUAAGCACAUUUAUGAUAGAGCUAGGACAACUGAAGACCAGGAUUUCCUUGGCCAUAGAAAUCUAAAAAGUUCUAAAGACCAUUUCAUUUGAGCCUGGUGGAUAUAUUGCCAGAAAAUCAGAUAUUUCUUUUCUCCUUAUCUGUGUCCUCUCCUUUCCUGGCCUGGGAGAUUAUUUUAGAUUUUCUGGGUGGGCUCUAAAUGCCAUCAUAUGUACCCUUAUAGGAGAGAGGGAGAGGGAGAUUUGACACACGGAGAAGAUGAUGUGAAGGCAGAAGCAGAGAUUGGAGGGUUGUAGCCAAAAGCCAAAGAAUGCUAACGAAUGAUGGCAGCCACCAGGAGCUAGAAGACUCAAGAAACAGAUUUCCCCCAAACCUCUGGAAGGAGCAUAAUCCUGCCCACACCUUGAUUUUGGACUUCUAGACUCUAGAACUGUGAGAGAGUAAAUUUGUGUUAUUUUAAGUCAUAAAGGUUGUGGUAAUUUUUUGUAGCAGCCACAGGAAAUUAACACAAUGGGUAAGUUCUGACUGUUUAGUAUAUAUUGAUUUGUCUUUUUUUAUAUAAGUGUAUAUACCAAAGUUACUCAUUCAUUCAUUCCUAUAUUCACCCAGUAACUGCAGUUCUUUUUUAGUGAUUGGUUGCAUGUGUUCGUGUAUAGUCAUGCUGACUUUGUCUUUUCAAUAUUUAAACAGACAGCAUGAUGCUAAGGUGACUUUUUGUACUUGCCUCAUUCUUUCCUACUCUUCAUGACUUCAGCCUUUUUAGCUUCUUUCUGUCCAAAAAAAAAAAAAAAGCUAUGAGUAAGUUAAUUACUUGAAGUAGUUUCAUCUAAUAGCACUGCUAUUUGCUGAUACAUGCAAGCACAAUUAUUACUCCACCUGGCCUGGCAGUAUGACAGACAUUUGAUGGAUGAAAGAUUUUACAAUGUAUUUUAUUCUUCUAAGCAUUGCGCAGGCCUUUACUAGGGUCAUAUGCAUGACAAAUAGACCAUAUGUUUUAAGGAAGUAGACAACUGAGGUUUAGAAAUCAGCAAGUUGAUCUACAGACAAGGAGCUGAAGCCUCUACUGCCGUUAACCUGUGUUCUAUUGGGGGAGCCAUACAAGAGAGUUUAAAAGCUAAAGCCAAGCCAGGAAGAGGAAGACAAGAUGAGAAACCCAAAAUCAAGCCUUGUCUUUCACGCUACCUGAGGAUGCUGCUCCCACCAUGGCAAAUUUGGUGUUUAAGUUCUUUAAGAGUGAUGACUUUAAAUUGUAAGCUAAACCUACUUAAGGUUUUCUUCAACAUACAGUCUUUGAGGAUGGCGUCUUUGCCAUUUGAUUUCUUGAAGAGCUUGCUUCCCUCUAAUGUGCUUUGCACAACGUGGCCUGUGCCCUUUCCACGCAUUUGCUUUGGUGGCUGUAUCUUCCCUCGGGUGAGUUGCUUGCUCUCACCUCAGUGGUGGCAGAUGCAUUUUAAGCCCCUUUUGUGAGAAGUUAUUUUUGUUAGGAGUUUGCAUUGUUCACAGUACUUUGACAUGUGAAGAAAAAGAAUACUAAACACAAAAAGAUGAAGCCAUUCUUGACCAUUACUUAAUGUACAAGAUUAAGGAUAUAUCUCUACUAACUAACUUUGUGAAUGUUUAAAUUGAUGUUUGUUGAAGUUCAUUUCACAUUUGUAUUAAUAAUAGUAGAUUAUUUUCUUCCCUUUUAAACUGGUUACCUUGGUUUUUAUUGGUCCUUAAUGUUGAUCUGUAUCUGGACAGGACUGACUAACCUCUUCCCAGGUAUUUCCAACUUCUAACAAUGUUUGGGUCAACUCUUGCACAUGACUCAUAUUGAUUAUACAUUCAUUGUAAUAUCUUCUCCAUUAGGUAAUAAAUUUCUUAAGGGUGACAUUAGUGUUUUCCUUCUCAGCUAUUCUAUAUACUUUCUAGUGCUUGGAGGGCUAGAUCUUCAAUGAGUAUUCAAUAUAUAAUUAAGACAUGUUUUUAAAACCAAGUCAGGAAAAGUGUUCUUAACCAUAGUCCUUUUAUUUG